GGCGAACGGGUGAGUAACGCGUGAGUAACCUGCCCUGGAUGGGGGACGAACAGUUGGAAACGACUGCUAAUACCGCAUAAGCCCACGAUCCGGCAUCGGAUUGAGGGAAAAGGAAUUUAUUCGCUUCAGGAUGGACUCGCGUCCAAUUAGCUAGUUGGUGAGGUAACGGCCCACCAAGGCGACGAUUGGUAGCCGGACUGAGAGGUUGAACGGCCACAUUGGGACUGAGACACGGCCCAG
rnacentral:rRNA from 1 species